GCUGUCCUGCAUGCCAAAUAUCUAAUAUCUUCUCAAAUUUGCUCACACCACCUAAUGCUUUUGCCACAGCUGCAAAUUGGCAAUGUCAUGAAAAUGAUGGCGCUUGAUUUGUAGAGGCCAAAAACACGGGUUUGUUACAAAUUACAUGAAAAAGAAAUUAUAUAUGAAGAUUUAAAGGUAUCAGGUAUCAUACUAAAAUAUGAAUAGGCUUAGAUCAAUUGGUACACCUCCAAGAAUUGUAGACAAGAAUUAUGGAUUCAAAAGCAAAACCUUAGCAAGAAUAAAAUGGUUCCACCAGUAGUAUUGCCAAAAACAUUUAAGUACAUGUCUCAUUAAUUACAUAGGAAAAAAAAUCCCCAUCCCUACGACUAAAUAUGUGAAUAUUUGCGAGGAAAACAUGUUAAUCUUCACUAGGUUUUAGGAUUCUGAAUUAAAAACAGCAAACUUACUCUUCUGCAACUCCUCUGGUGUCA
rnacentral:misc_RNA from 1 species